AACGAACGCUGGCGGCAUGCCUAACACAUGCAAGUCGAACGAAGUCUUCGGACUUAGUGGCGCACGGGUGCGUAACGCGUGGGAAUCUGCCCUUGGGUUCGGAAUAACAGUUAGAAAUGACUGCUAAUACCGGAUGAUGUCUUCGGACCAAAGAUUUAUCGCCCAGGGAUGAGCCCGCGUAGGAUUAGGUAGUUGGUGGGGUAAUGGCCCACCAAGCCGACGAUCCUUAGCUGGUCUGAGAGGAUGAUCAGCCACACUGGGACUGAGACACGGCCCAGACUCCUACGGGAGGCAGCAGUGGGGAAUAUUGGACAAUGGGCGAAAGCCUGGAUCCAGCAAUGCCGCGUGAGUGAUGAAGGCCUUAGGGUUGUAAAGCUCUUUUACCAGGGAUGAUAAUGACAGUACCUGGAGAAUAAGCUCCGGCUAACUCCGUG
rnacentral:rRNA from 1 species